rnacentral:rRNA from 1 species
AUUGAACGCUGGCGGCGUGCCUUACACAUGCAAGUCGAACGGCAGCACGGGAGCAAUCCUGGUGGCGAGUGGCGAACGGGUGAGUAAUAUAUCGGAACGUGCCCAGUCGUGGGGGAUAACGUAGCGAAAGCUACGCUAAUACCGCAUACGAUCUAUGGUUGAAAGCGGGGGAUCGCAAGACCUCGCGCGAUUGGAGCAGCCGAUAUCAGAUUAGGUAGUUGGUGAGGUAAAGGCUCACCAAGCCGACGAUCUGUAGCUGGUCUGAGAGGACGACCAGCCACACUGGGACUGAGACACGGCCCAGACUCCUACGGGAGGCAGCAGUGGGGAAUUUUGGACAAUGGGCGCAAGCCUGAUCCAGCAAUGCCGCGUGCAGGAUGAAGGCCUUCGGGUUGUAAACUGCUUUUGUACGGAACGAAACGGCGAGCUCUAAUACAGUUUGCUAAUGACGGUACCGUAAGAAUAAGCACCGGCUAACUACGUGCCAGCCGCCGCUGUAA